UGCAAUUGACACAGCUACUUCCUUCCAAAU
rnacentral:piRNA from 1 species